UACCAGCACCCCGAGUGGUCGGGACGAUUAUUGGGCCUAAAGCAUCCGUAGCCGGUUUUACAAGUCCUCCGUUAAAUCCAGCUGCUUAACAGAUGGCUGCGGAGGAUACUAUAAGACUAGGAGGCAGGAGAGGCAAGCGGUACUCAGUGGGUAGGGGUAAAAUCCGUUGAUCCAUUGAAGACCACCAGUGGCGAAGGCGGCUUGCCAGAAUGCGCUCGACGGUGAGGGAUGAAAGCUGGGGAGCAACCGGG
rnacentral:rRNA from 1 species